AAGGAAUAUUGCUCAAUGGGAGAAAUCCUGAAGCAGCAACGCCGCGUGGAGGAUGAAGGGUCUAUGACUUGUAAACUCCUGUAAAGAAGGAAAAAAUUCCCAUUUGAUGGGAGAUGAUGGUACUUCUGGAGUAAGCCCCGGCUAACUACGUGCCAGCAGCCGCGGUAAUACGUAGGGGGCAAGCGUUGUCCGGAUUUACUGGGUGUAAAGGGCGCUCAGGCGGAUUUGUAAGUCAGAGGUGAAAUCUUACAGCUUAACUGUGAAACUGCCUUUGAUACUGCAAGCCUAGAGUAUGGAAGAGAGUGAUGGAAUAUCUGGUGUAGCAGUGAAAUGCGUAGAUAUCAGAUAGAACACCCAUGGCGAAGGCAGUCACUUGGUCCAUUACUGACGCUAAAGCACGAAAGCGUGGGUA
rnacentral:rRNA from 1 species